AAUUUCUGAGAUCAACUCCCUUCCCCAUCCCUAGUUGCUUAGAGAAUCCUUUAGAGACCCUGGAAAUCACUUGGAGUAUGGUGUCAGAAUCAGACAUGAGUUAUGUGUGCCAAUGUCCAUCAGCUCAAACACAUGGACCUGAGUGUCGUCAUCUUUUUAGAUUUAAGUCAUCCACUUCUAGAAUCUAUUGCUAGAAAGACUGAUAGCUACACUGCACACCCUAAAAUUGAAGGACUGUAUGACUGUGGAGUAGCAAAUUAGUACCCUCCUGUCUGCCCCGAUCCAGUGCUCCCAGCUCACUGAGGUCAAUUUUGUGAAGAACUUCCUGUCCAUGUAUAGCCUGAAGAAGCCGCUGAAGCACACAGCUGACUUGGGAGGUGUACCCUGGCCUCACUGAGAUCUAUGUCAUUGGUGGUGUCCUGCCAGAUAAUUUGCACAACAUUGUUUUGAGCU
rnacentral:lncRNA from 1 species